UGGGAUGCCUUCCUCUAUCCCCCUCUCUACAGGUUGGAAAGGUCAGAGACAAAGCGUUUAUGUUAUCGCUCAGAUUUUUUUUAUGAGUGUAUUACAACACUGCUAACAUAUUAUGGUAAUUGAUAUUGAUGCUGCAAUAGCUAUUUGACUGUGUCCGAAUAUGCUCUGUGUGCAUGUGUUUCUGUGUGGGUGUGUUUGUGUGCGUGUGCCCUCAGGUUGCUGACUGUAUUCAGGACUCUCUGAAGAGUAACGGCGGUAUGCCACAUUCUGGCUGUGACAAACGGAAAACAGAUGAUGCUGUCAACAGGCACCAGGGUCUCCUGAGAGAGCUGCAGGAGCUGGCCCAGAAGGAGAGGGAAAAAGAGAGAGAGUAUGGGAGGGAGAACGAGAGAUAUGAGGAGAACCAGGCUGAGGGAGAGAGGGACAGAGAAGGGAGGAAGGAGGAGCAGAAUGAUGACAAGAAGGAGACUGAGAAAGAAGAACUGAGAGAGAAAGAGACGAAGGCAGAAGGGGUAGAGGAGGAGGAGAAGGUGGAGAUGAAGGACAGAACAAAUGAGGAGAUAAGGGAAGAGCCCAGACUGGAGGAGAAAAGGGGGGAUGAGGAAGAGAGCGCCAAAGAGCUGGAGGAGCUCCUCGCAAAGGAGAUAACGAAAAUAGGAGAGGAGGAAAAAGAGGACAGGGAGCUUGAGGAGCUGCUCAAGGAGCUGAAGAAGAAAAGGUACGAGUCGGUGAAGGAGAAAGAGCUCCAGAGAGGGUCAGAAGCAGAGGAGAAUAGGAAGAGGGAUGAGGAGGAGGAGCAGAAAAAGGGAGAGAAAGAGCAGCUAGAUAUUCUUGAGAAGGAAGAGAGGAAACGCAGCGAGGAGAGGAAGAACAACGAGGUGGAGCUGCUGGUGGAGAAAGGGAAGGUGGAACGGGAGCUCAAAGAGCUGCUGGAGGAACAGGACAGCAUGAAGAAUGUGGAGAAGGAGAAAGAGAGGGAGGAAAAACAGGAGGAACUGGAGGAGCUCCUCAAAAAGAUGAAACGCGUACAAGAGGAGGAGGAGCAAGAAGAGGAGGAGAGGAAGAUUGGGAAUGCCGGGGAUGAGGCGAAAGUGGACAAAGAGAGCCAGAAGGAGGGAGAGAUUCACAAGGAAUUGGAGAAGGUGAAAGAAAGAGAGAGUGAGAAGGUGGUUAAGGAGCCUCAGCAGAAGAGAGUGAUGGAGAAAGCGAGUGAUGAGUCGACCCGUCAGUUUGAAAAGGAGAGGAACAGGGACGAUGAUGAUGAUGACGACGAUGAUGAAGAAGCAGACGAGGAAGAUGAAGAUGAAAACAAUGAGGAUUGGGAAGAGGAGGAGGAGGAUGAGGACAAAAAGGAGAAUGUUGAGGAGGAUGAAGGAGAGGUAAGUGGGCGAGAGUCAACAAGAUUUAGCACAACUGAGCUUGUAAAGUUGAUAUUGUAAUGUUAAUAGACUAUGUCUCUCUGUGUGUGCGUGUGUGUGUGUGUGUGUGUGUGUGUGUGUGUGUGUGUGUGUGUGUGUGUGUGUGUGUGUGUGUGUGUGUGUGCCUGUGUGCGCACCUAACACACUGUCUGACCUGUUCUGUGUGCCUACAGGAGCUUCUGGAGAUUGAGGCAGAGCUGCGAAAAGUGGCUGCAGAGCUUCGGGAGCUUCACAGGAGUCAUUAAGUUCUAAAUUACACACACACACACACACACACACACACACACACACACACACACACACACACACACACACACACACACACACACACACACACACACACACAGAAAGACAAACAACACAAAACAGACAAAUAAUGACACAAUGCAGCUCUCUCUCUCUCAUGCUAUCACACACAGCAACACACACAACUAACAUACUUAGUAACAUGGUAUAGUCAUAAUGCUUUUGAUGGGAUGUACUUCUGUAAGUAGUUGCAUUUUAGUAUAAGCAUACAGGUACACUUCUCCCCAUCCCCUAACUCUCAUAUUGCAUUCAGAGAUUGCAAGUUCUUCAGAUGUCAGUCUUUCUGUGUGCUGCCAUUAUCAAAGAUUGUUUAGUAGGCAAGAUGUACAACCUUGCAAAGCUAUAGUUAGUCUACAUCUCAUGAUACUUGGGAAAGAGGUUUUCUUUACGAUAUGUCUCGUGUGUAUAUUUUGUGCAAUAAUUAAAAAUCAGUGUGUGGGAUUUGUUACGGUCAUUGUGGCGUUUAAUGUAAGCAAUGUAUCACUGUCAUUUGUAAUAUUGACAUUUCGAUUUCUAUGAUUGAUUUCCAUGUGUAUGUCAACAAAAUGUGAGGAUUGUGCUAUCUGGCUAAUGCACUGUUAAUAGCAGACUGUUAAUGAAGAACUGGGGUAACACUCCAGGAGAAUCUUAAUUGCAAAAUCUUUGCGUCCUCUCCUCGCCUCCUUUUCAAAACUCAUUGGAAGAGAAGACCAGAGGGGAGGGACAUCUGGCUUUCUCAUCCAAUGGGUUUUGAGAAGGAGAUGAGGAUGUGAGGAGUAUUUAACUGAGAUCUUCCCUCAGAAAGAACUGAGGGACCACAGAAACCUCUUUAGUAUUGAUGUACACUACCGUUCAAAAGUUUGGGGUCACUUAGAAAUGUCCUUGUUUUCCAUGAAAACAAAUUAGUUGCAAAAUUAAUAAGAAAUAUAAUGAUAUAAUAAUUGUAUCCUUCAAACUUUGCUUUCGUCAAAUAAUCCUCCAUUUGCAGCAAUUACAGUCUUGCAGACCUUUGGCAUUCUAGUUGUCAAUUUGUUGAGGUAAUCUGAAGAGAUUUCUCCCCAUUCUUCCUGAAGCACCUCCCACAAGUUGGAUAGGCUUGAUGAGCACUUCUUACGUACCAUACGGUCAAGCUGCUCCCACAUCAGCUCAAUAGGGUUGAGAUCCGGUGACUGUGCUGGCCACUCCAUUAUAGACAGAAUACCAGCUGACUGCUUCUUCCCUAAAUAGUUCUUGCAUAGUUUGGAGCUGUGCUUUGGGUCAUUGUCCUGUUGUAAGAAGAAAUUGGCUCCAAUUAAGCGCCGUCCACAGGGUAUGGCAUGGCGUUGCAAAAUGGAGUGAUAACCUUGCUUCUUCAAGAUCCCUUUUACCCUGUACAAAUCUCUAACUUUACCACCACCAAAACACUUCCAGACCAUCACAUUGCCUCCAUCAUGCUUGACAGAUCGCGUCAAGCACUCCUCCAGCAUCUUUUCAUUUUUGAUCCGAACACCUCAAACUUAGAUUUGUCUGUCCAUAACACUUUUUUCCAAUCUUCCUCUGUCCAGUGUCUGUGUUCUUUUGCCCAUCUUAAUCUUUUCUUUUUAUUGGCCAGUCUGAGAUAUGGCUUUUUCUUUGCAACUUUGCCUAGAAGGCCAGCAUACCGGAGUUGCGUCUUCACUGUUGAUGUUGAGACUGGUGUUUUGCGGGUACUAUUUAAUUAAGCUGCCAGUUGAGGACUUGUGAGGCGUCUGUUUCUCAAACUAGACACUGUAAUGUACUUGUCCUCUUGCUCAGUUGUGCACCGGGGCCUCCCACUCCUCUUUCUAUUCUGGUUAGAGACAUGGAAUAGCAUGGAAUAGCCUUCAAUUCUCAGAACAAGAAUAGACUGACGAGUUUCAGAAGAAAGGUCUUUGUUUCUGGCCAUUUUGAGCCUGUAAUCGAACCCACAAAUGCUGAUACUCCAGAUACUCAACUAGUCUAAAGAAGGCCAGUUUUAUUGCUUCUUUAAUCAGAACACCAGUUUUCAGCUGUGCUAACAUAAUUGCAAAAGGGUUUUCUAAUGAUCAAUUAGCCUUUUAAAAUUAUAAACUUGGAUUAGCUAACACAACAUGCCAUUGGAACACAGGAGUGAUGGUUGCUGAUAAUGGGCCUCUGUACGCCUAUGUAGAUAUUCCAUAAAAAAUCAGCCGUUUCCAGCUACAAUAGUCAUUUACAACAUUAACAAUGUCUACACUGUAUCAAUGUCUACACUGUAUUUCUGAUCAAUUUGAUGUUAUUUGAAUGGACAAAAAAGUAGCUUUUCUUUCAAAAACAAGGACAUUUCUAAGUAACCCCAAACUUUUGAACGGUAGUGUAUUUCCUAUGCUGUAACAGAACAAGGGUCAAAACAUAAUGAUAUAAAAUAAUGUUAUUUUAAUCUUUAAUAAGAUGAGCAUGACUGUUCCUUUAGUUCUUUUUGUUUGUAGAUUGGGUCACCCAGGUGGUCAAAAGUAAUAGUAAUAGAAAUAGAAUGAAUGGGAAUGUCCGUUCUAAUAAUGCUAUUUCUAUGGUCAGGGUGGUGCCCCAGCUCUUCUCCCAGCUUUGCACUCUUAUCUUAACUAGCCAAGGAAGUCUAAAGAGAGGCGCGACUACACUAAAGCCAUUUCUAGAAAUUUGAUCAUAAUAAACAAUGACUGUUCUAAAACGUUGUUUUUAAGUUGGUAAGAUAUUGAUAUUCAUCGUCAUCAUUUUUCAUAGUUUGUGAUCUCCACUGUUACGCAGCCAUGUUGGAAUAAGAAAUGUUAGGAAUCCCCCACAUGUUUAAUCAAUAUAAGUGCAUUAUGUGCUACAAAGUUGCAUGGUUGAUAACAUAGGUGGAGGAACAACAAUAACUGCAAUACAAGAAUGAGAAUAAGAAGUCAGCUUAUUAAAACCUAUAAAGCUAUAACAAUGUACAUAUUAAAAACAAAUGAUGAUGAUUUUCUGUAAAUGUACUUUAUGUCAUUAAAAUGCAUCAUAAAUAGACUUUUAAAUAUAAACACUCCUUUUCUAUCUAACAUUAAUUUACAAUUAUAAACUGGGUGGUUUGAGCCCUGAAUGCUGAUUGGCUGACAGCCGUGGUAUAUCAGACCAUAUACCACGGGUAUGACAAAACAUUUAUUUUUACUGCUCUAAUUUUGUUGGUAACCAGUUUAUAAUAGCAAUAAGGCACCUUGGGGGUUUGGGGUACAUGGCCAAUAUACCACUACUAAGGGCUGUAUCCAGGCACUCCGCAACUUAGCUGUGGCAACAGCCCUUAGCCGUGGCACAUUGGCCAUAUACCACACCCCCUCGGGCCUUAUUGCUUAACUAUAUAAUACUGGUAACUGUUGGCACUCAUAUAAAACGAAUAUAAAACACAUCAACACCAUGUAAGAAGUCAAACAGGCUACUCACUAGGUGUUGUGAGAUUUACUCAAGAAUGUAUACCAUUUCAACAUUUAGAAAUGUAUUUACCAAAUGAAUUUUACCAGCAAAGGGUUGUGGAUUGUAAGUGGGAUGUAAAGGACAAAUUAGUGGAGGUCAACAUUUGUAAUUGUACUGGCCCAAUCAGAGUCCUGCAUCUGUGCCUACUGUGUCUUAUAUGCUACAUGUCAAUCAAUAAAAGCACAGUGUAUAAUAUUUCUCAAUCAUUGUUACUUCUAUAAUAGUAGUGGUUGGUUGUCUUCAUUGACUGAUCACAGUCUCUGUAUAUUCCUUUCAAAAUCCUGGCACCUAUGUGACUGUAAGAAGGGGUGACUCAGACCCAGUUUAUGAGAUAUAUUUAAAGGCAACCAUUGUCAAUUUGGUGUCCUACUUCCCGGGUCUUUCUGGAUGUAUCAGAGAGGAUGAGCCAGGUCAGGGUCAAGGGUCAACAGUGAACCCGUGUCGGAGUUCAGAGUUCAGCCUGGGGGGCUGAGGGAGCAAGAGGACAUGUUGCCUGGGGGACUUCCAGUUCCCGGGGGUCCAAUACUGACUCAAUGUGACUGAGGAGGGAGGAGAAUAACUGAGGCACUCCCUCAUAGCCUGGAAGAGGGGGAUGGAAAGAUAUGGGUGAUGAGAGAUAGAGAGAGAACAUAACAUUGAGUAAGAGUGAGCAAGAGUGAAAGUGUAACAUGGAAGCAAAUACAGCAGUAUAAAGUUACUUUCAGGACUGUAAGUCGCUCUGGAUAAGAACGUCUGUUAAUGACCUAAAUGUAUAAUGUAAAUGAAAGAUGGAAAAGCCCAGUGACCUGGGAAGAUGCUGAUGUUGAUGAUAGUGAGGGUGUGUGUGUCGAUGCUGACGAUGACGUCCACCCCGAACAGAGCCAUGCCCAGCUCUGCCCUCAGAUCCCUCACUGGGGCCAACAUGGCCUCACCACUGGGGGGAGGCAACCUCAGCACCUUCUCAUCCAGCUGAGACACAACACCACAGGACACAGGACAGAUGAUCAGUUCAUCUGUUCAGGGUCCGUAUUCACAAAGUGUCUCAGAGUAGGAUUGCUGAUCUAGGAUCAAGUCCCCCUGUCUAUGUGAUCUUAUUCUUUAUGAUCUAAAAAACCAA
rnacentral:lncRNA from 8 species